ACAUGUAGGUAACCUACCCUUAAGCUGGGGACAACUCAGGGAAACUUGAGCUAAUACCCGAUAAGACCACGAACUGAGAUAUUAGUGGUAAAAGGAGCGGUUCACUUAAGGAUGGGCCUGCGGCCUAUCAGGUAGUUGGUGGGGUAAUGGCCCACCAAGCCUAAGACGGGUAGCCGGGCUGAGAGGCCGGACGGCCACACUGGAACUGAGAUACGGUCCAGACUCCUACGGGAGGCAGCAGUGGGGAAUAUUGCGCAAUGGGGGAAACCCUGACGCAGCGACGCCGCGUGGAGGAUGAAGGCCUUCGGGUUGUAAACUCCUUUUCUCGGGGAAAAUUAUGAUGGUACCUGAGGAAUAAGCCACGGCUAACUCUGUGCCAGCAGCCGCGGUAAGACAGAGGUGGCGAGCGUUGUUCGGAAUUACUGGGCUUAAAGGGCGAGUAGGCGGUGAAGCAAGUCUGAUGUGGAAUCCUAUGGCUUAACCAUAGAACUGCCUUAGAAACUGCUUUACUUGAGUCAGUGAGGGGAGGGCGGAAUUCCUGGUGUAGCGGUGAAAUGCGUAGAUAUCAGGAGGAAGGCCUGUGGCGAAGGCGGCCCUCUGGUACUGGACUGACGCUGAGGCGCGAAAGCGUGGGGAGCAAACAGGAUUAGAUACCCUGGUAGUCCACGCCCUAAACGGUGGGCAUUAGGUGUAGGGCUCGUAAGGGUUCUGUGCCGAAGGGAAACCAUUGAAUGCCCCGCCUGGGGAAUACGGCCGCAAGGUUGAAACUCAAAGGAAUUGACGGGGGCCCGCACAAGCGGUGGAGCAUGU
rnacentral:rRNA from 1 species